AUUGAACGCUGGCGGCAGGCCUAACACAUGCAAGUCGAACGGUAACAGGAAGAAGCUUGCUUCUUUGCUGACGAGUGGCGGACGGGUGAGUAAUGUCUGGGAAACUGCCUGAUGUAGGGGGAUAACUACUGGAAACGGUAGCUAAUACCGCAUAACGUCGCAAGACCAAAGAGGGGGACCUUCUGGCCUCUUGCCAUCGGAUGUGCCCAGAUGGGGUUAGCUAGUGGGGGGGGUAACGGCUCACCUAGGCGACGAUCCCUAGCUGGUCUGAGAGGGUGACAGGCAAAACGGGACCUGAGCAACGGUCCAGACUCCUAGGGGAGGCAGCAGUGGGAAAUAUUGCCCAAGGGGCGCAAGCCUGAUGCAGCAAUGCGGCGUGUAUGAAGAAGGCCUUCGGGUUGUAAAGUACUUUCAGGGGAGAGGAAGGGAGUAAAGUUAAUACCUUUGCUCAUUGACGUUACCAGAAGAAGAAGCACCGGCUAACUCCGU
rnacentral:rRNA from 1 species